AACAAAAGUAAUUCAUGUGAUAUAUUAAAAACUAAUGCAAGGGCAUAUUAUAUUUUCAUCAUUGUAAUUAUUACGUAAGUGCCUUAGCAAUUCAAUAACAUAUUUUGCUUAAAAAUCAUUAUUUUUCAAAUUUAUGCCCUACAUACCAACAUGUCUGCAAUAGAUAACGCUUUAUUACCAUGGGGGGAAAACCUUAAAGAUAUUAACCAUUAGAAUCAAGUAACAUCGUGGUUUAUAAUAUUAUCACCUCAGAAACCAUCAAAAUUUAAACUAAAUUUAAUCAAAAUGGUAUGUACUUACUCUAUGAAAAAUACUUUGAUUUUAGUUUAUUUUAUGUUAAAAAUUUUCAGGCUUCCAAAAUCUGCUUAUUACCUGCUAUAAUCCUGAUCCCGUUACAUUUCCAAUUCUCAAUGUUGGCAACCAAGUUAAUCACAUAGUUGACAAUGUUGGUAACGUCAUUGUUGGUGGCGUAGUCAACGUUGGCAACAAUGUAAUUGGAGGUGUAAUCAACAUUGGCAAUGAUCUUGUAGAUAGUGAUAUGACCAACAUGGUUAAUGGAUUAUCUGGCAUAGUAAUGUUCGCAGUAAUAAUUGCACUCAUUACCAGUAUGUUAACUGGUCUCCAAGUGUUUUUGAUUGGUUUUGCACUUAAUAUGCUCUUGUAAAAUUAUUUUAUAUCUACAUAAACUUGAUAUACCAUGUAAAUGUGAAAUCAAUAAUUAAAGCCCACUUAUUCAAGGACGAA